UCUGUAUUCCCCUAGUACGGCGAGUGAAGCGGGAAGAGCUCAAAUUUGAAAUCUGGCAGUCUUCGAUUGUCCGAGUUGUAAUCUAUAGAGGCGUUUUCCGUGCCGGACCGUGUCCAAGUCUCCUGGAAAGGAGUAUCAAAGAGGGUGAUAAUCCCGUACUUAACACGACCACCGGUGCUCUGUGAUACGUCUUCUACGAGUCGAGUUGUUUGGGAAUGCAGCUCAAAAUGGGUGGUGAAUUCCAUCUAAAGCUAAAUAUUGGCGAGAGACCGAUAGCGAACAAGUACCGUGAGGGAAAGAUGAAAAGCACUUUGGAAAGAGAGUUAAACAGUACGUGAAAUUGUUGAAAGGGAAACGAUUGAAGUCAGUCGUGUUCUUUGGAUUCAGCCAGUUCUGCUGGUCUACUUCCUUGGAACGGGUCAACAUCAGUUUUGUCCGGUGGAUAAAGGUAGUAGGAAUGUGACUUCUCCGGAAGUGUUAUAGCCUAUUAUCACAUACACUGGGUGAGACUGAGGACUGCAGCUCGCCUUUAUGGCCGGUCUUCGGACACGUUCGAGCUUAGGAUGUUGACAUAAUGGCUUUAAACGACCCGUCUUGAAAACACGGACCA
rnacentral:rRNA from 1 species